rnacentral:rRNA from 1 species
UACCGAGUUUACAACUCCCAAACCCCUGUGAACAUACCAAUUGUUGCCUCGGCGGAUCAGCCCGCUCCCGGUAAAACGGGACGGCCCGCCAGAGGACCCCUAAACUCUGUUUCUAUAUGUAACUUCUGAGUAAAACCAUAAAUAAAUCAAAACUUUCAACAACGGAUCUCUUGGUUCUGGCAUCGAUGAAGAACGCAGCAAAAUGCGAUAAGUAAUGUGAAUUGCAGAAUUCAGUGAAUCAUCGAAUCUUUGAACGCACAUUGCGCCCGCCAGUAUUCUGGCGGGCAUGCCUGUUCGAGCGUCAUUUCAACCCUCAAGCCCUCGGGUUUGGUGUUGGGGAUCGGCGAGCCCUUGCGGCAAGCCGGCCCCGAAAUCUAGUGGCGGUCUCGCUGCAGCUUCCAUUGCGUAGUAGUAAAACCCUCGCAACUGGUACGCGGCGCGGCCAAGCCGUUAAACCCCCAACUUCUGAAUGUUGACCUCGGAUCAGGUAGGAAUA